rnacentral:tRNA from 1 species
AGGGGUAGAGCUCAAUGGUAGAGCACAUGAUUAGCACGCAUGAAGUCCUGUGUUCAAUCCUUAGUACCUCCA